GAUGAACGCUGGCGGCGUGCCUAAUACAUGCAAGUCGAACGAGUUCUCGUUGAUGAUCGGCGCUUGCACCGAGAUUCAACAUGGAACGAGUGGCGGACGGGUGAGUAACACGUGGGUAACCUGCCCUUAAGUGGGGGAUAACAUUUGGAAACAGAUGCUAAUACCGCAUAGAUCCAAGAACCGCAUGGUUCUUGGCUGAAAGAUGGCGUAAGCUAUCGCUUUUGGAUGGACCCGCGGCGUAUUAGCUAGUUGGUGAGGUAAUGGCUCACCAAGGCGAUGAUACGUAGCCGAACUGAGAGGUUGAUCGGCCACAUUGGGACUGAGACACGGCCCAAACUCCUACGGGAGGCAGCAGUAGGGAAUCUUCCACAGUGGACGCAAGUCUGAUGGAGCAACGCCGCGUGAGUGAAGAAGGCUUUCGGGUCGUAAAACUCUGUUGUUGGAGAAGAAGGUCGGCAGAGUAACUGUU
rnacentral:rRNA from 2 species